CACUACUUAAAAAGAAGGAACUGGUUCCUUAUUCUGCCAAUACGUCACCUCUUCGUCGUCAACUCUUCGUCGUCAAUCCCGCGUGGGCCUAACUGGGCCAAAGCCCAACUACCUCGAGUGGAACGGAAACCUGGCACCCGAAACCCUCGCUCCUCGCCCUGCCGAAUUCUACGCCCCGAGCGCAGCUCCUGCCGCCGAUCACCCUCCGCCGCCUCCCGCUCCCGCGGAGCUUGGAGGACCUCCAGUCCACCGGCCACCUACCUCCCCCAACGACGCCACCACCCCCAUCGUCGUCCUCCCCUCCCCAACACCCCCGCACACCUCGAAGCCCUGAACGUGUCCGCACAUCCUCCAUGCUGUCUUGGAUGGCGUCGCUCCCCGCCUUACAGGCUUGGCCGCAGCCGCCUUCGAGCUCCAUGAGCGGACUGCACUGCAUCGACCCAUGUCGGCCUGGAUGGCGUCGCCCCGGCCCUCACCCUGCGGGCCUGGACGCCGCGGCCGUCGUCCUCGAGCUCCACGCACGGACUGCCCUGCAGCACCACGACGCCGCCACAACAACGCCAUGCUCGCAUACUUCGGUAGUCUGGAUUUAGCCGUUGCGCUCCACGCGCGGAAUUGCCUGCCACUUACGCCCUCUUCCUCUCUAGCAUCGUGCUCUCCUGCUCCUUCCCAUGUUUGCCUCCCUUUCUAAUUUCUACAUGCAUGACUACUUCGCCUCCCUGCAGGCUAAGUGUUUGUGAUAUUGCCAAGAUGUCCGGUGCAUAACACACUGCUUUGACAAGUAUUUACAGGUUAAUAUGUUUGAUAAAUUUGACAAGUACAUGAAAGUUCCUGGUGAAUGAACUCCUGCUGGAACCAAGCCACCCUCGAGGUAAUAUUGUGUUUAUUAUUGCAGCCAAAUUUGCACAAACGUCUUCCAGACUUCAGUUUAUGUAUUGAAUUAUUUCGCCUUUGCAUUCUUCACCAUUUAUCUGCCGCAGUAGCAUAUUUGUUUACACUAUAUAUACUCUGUAUUCAAUCUUUGUUCUUGUGUUUUCUGUUACUGACAUAGUUUUAUGACCAUUCUUUUGCAUGAAUGGAAAUCCUGUUAAUAUGUGCUUUCUAACCCGGCCAUCUUUUUUUGCUUACUCCUUUUAGUAGUUACUGUUGUCUAUCUUCUGUAGUCCAAACAAAAGUCAUUAAAAACUCCUGAAGGGCAACCUGGAAGUAUCCUGACUGGCAUGUGUAAGAACUAAAUGCACAAUUUUGAAUUCUAUGUAGUGGACAAGAAUAUUCUGCAAGUUAAAUUAUUGACAGUAUGAGCCUGGGAUGCUUCAGAAAUGGAUUAGGCAACAACCUAUAUUAGAGGUGGACAAUGCUACUACAGUCUCUCCCUCUAGAUCGAUCCAUUCAUCGGAUUGUGAACUCUUUUCCUGCAUGUGAGGAAAGAUAUUCCUCUCUGGUGGCAACAUUAAGAGUUUAAUUUAUAGCACUACAUCUGCAGUAUAAAUUCCUGUAUGUAGUAAUUUUAACUCAAAGAAACCAUGCAUUUAAUUUUGAACUCAUGAAACUUGAACUACAUUUGGUGUUGUGGUAAAUCAACUUUUGAGUAAAAAAAUGGAAUAAGCUGACCCACUGUGUUUUGUGUGUUUUGGUUUAAACGGAGAAACAUCAACUAUUGUGUGUGUCUGCGGGAUAACUCUAGCGCAAAAUGUCUAGGAGAGAGUAGGAGCAUGAGCUAUGGGCAACUCACGAGCAUUGUAGGAGAGAGCAGGAGCCUGAGCUAUGGGCAACUCAUGUGUUACUGCUUCAGGUAGUUUUUUUGUGUGUUUCUUACUUGGCAACUUGUGAAAAGAAUUUGAGCUGCCAAAUAUUGUGAUCAUUUGAUACGAUUAUACUGAUGCAAGCAUUGUGCAUGUAAGGAUUGUUUCAUUUUGUAAACAAGAUUCAGAUCAUUACCUGUAUGAAUAGAAAUCAGAUAAGAAUUGAAUCACUAGCUGCAAGACAAUCCAAAUGUAUUAUGCCUUGCAAAAGAAGAUGUUCUGUCUUUUCUAUAACCUCAUGUUUGCCCAAAGUAAUUAUCAUACAGAUGCUAGGAUAUUCACACUAACAUAUAGUACACUUUAUUCCAUCAGUUUGCCUCAUUCCCCAAGUUAGAAAAAAAAAUGUUUGCCUCUGUCCAAAAUCCCAUUUUCUCAGAAGUUCUAGCAAAACUAGCUGUGUUACUAAAAUGUUUGGAAGCUUUUGGUACCAAUAAUGUGUAAGACUAACGUUGCUAUUUCUUCUUUUCUUAUCAUGGUGCAACUGGAUUAUGUCGAUCACUGACCAGCGUUGGAAAAGAAAUAUUCUUCCACUUUAUACAAAGGAACUGCAGUUUAACUGUCCACUUCCCAAGACACAAAUCUUUUUUACAUUUGUAAAUAUACGUAGUUUCAGGUAUUGUAUGCAGAGCUCGAGCCGUCCUUUGCGCUGAACCUGAUUUGGAUAGAUACUCAAUUUUUAGGCUCGAUAAGGUCUAUAUGAAUCGCGGGGAUCGUACCUAUAGGUUUAUUGUUUGCUGCUCAUGGCGGAUUCAGUUGAUUCCAGUGUAGGUAAUGCGUGGUUUUACCGAUUGAUAAUGAUCCAGAGAUGCAUAUGUACACUUGAGCAUCCGAUAUUUCUGUAAGUGUGGUCCUUUUUCUUUCUCCAAUACUGUCAAAGAGGAUGGGGGAUACUAUACUGUGCAAUCUAUUUGCGUGCAACAUACUUAUCGGCGGCGUGCAGGAUGCGGACACACCAGAUUCUAGACCAUAGCAUGGCAUUUUAAUUGUCACAGUUUGUUGUCAUGAUUCUCUUUUGCUGAUGAUAUCAAUGUACAAUACUAUUGUGCAUACAUUUCACAUAGAGCCAAUGUACAUAUUAUUUUCUUAUUGAUGUAUUUUUUCUAUGAGGGAGCUAAAUAACUUUUCUUGUAAAUUUUAUCAGACAGGAGCAUUUCUGCAUAGAGAAUCUUAUCAAGUAAUUUAGUCUUGAUGGCUUGUUGCUUUCUGUUGCAGAUUCUUAUAGUGUAUCGGUAGAUUUUUAUGCUUAUACAAAUUUGUUCUUACAGGAUAUGAGUGUGGCUACUUUCUCCGAAAUGUCCUGCGUGCUAUUCCUUGCAAAUGCCAAGAGGUACGCUAAAUUCACAGUCUAAUUUGCAGCUUUAAUGUAUCAAUUUUCUCUUCUUAUGUAUGGUUUAUAUAAGUUGUACACUACCUAGCUACAGCUAUACCCUUUCUGUAUAAUGGGGUGAUUCUUCAAGGUAUGACUUUUCCAGAAUGAACAGAGUUGCUCAUAGACUGGGGCAUUGAAUUUGUUGUCAAAGAUCUUUCCUUGAUUACAGACACUUCAUGGAGUUAUUAGUAACACAAAUAUUUAUCGUAGAAAUUAGAAAGAUAAUGAACCGCUCUGAUAAUUUUAUCGAACCUGGAUUGCAGGCGCUUCAUGGAGUUAUCAUGAUACAACUGUUUACAAUGUUGGGCAUGAUAUGACAGCAACAGCAAUGGGUUCUAGCCUCUGCGUGCUGUAGUGUGUAGACUAAAAUAUAGGAAAGCAAGGUCAGUCAAACAUCUUCAUCAUGGAAUAUGGAAUAUAUGAGAAGGAUUUGUAGGUGAUAACAAAUUAGAUUCUAUUCUAGGUCAAGGGGUUAAGGACCUUUUUGAGGAAGAUACUAUAAUGCUGCUCCAUUUGUAAGUAGAGGCAAUAACUUGUCCAUCCAUUGGAGCAUCAAGCUCGGCAUGCCGCGUCUCAGUUUCAAGCACUUGUUUGUCCGACGGACUUACCGUUUUAUGAAUAUUUUUGUAAGCCGUUUUAUGGUUUUUUAUAAGCCAUUUUAUAAAUCGUAGAAGCUUAUAAAUGUACGGGAGACUGGAAAUUUUGUGUACAUGUUAGUGUUGAUGCACAAUGUUUCUGUUUAGUUUA